rnacentral:rRNA from 1 species
UACGUGGGUGGCAAGCGUUGUCCGGAAUUACUGGGUGUAAAGCGCGUGUAGGCGGGCGAUCAAGUUUGCGGUGACAGCGCCCGGCUUAACUGGGCACGGUCCGUGAAAACUGGUCCCCUGGAGGACGGUAGAGGCGAGUGGAAUUCCCGGUGUAGUGGUGAAAUGCGUAGAGAUCGGGAGGAAUACCUGUGGCGAAGGCGGCUCGCUGGGCCGGUCCUGACGCUGAGACGCGAAGGCGUGGGGAGCGAACGGG